UACGGAGGGUGCGAGCGUUAAUCGGAAUUACUGGGCGUAAAGCGCGCGUAGGCUGUCAAUUAAGCGGGAUGUGAAAGCCCUGGGCUCAACCUAGGAACUGCACCCCGAACUGGCUGACUAGAGUGCAGUAGAGGGUGGUGGAAUUUCCAGUGUAGCGGUGAAAUGCGUAGAGAUUGGAAGGAAUACCAGUGGCGAAGGCGACCACCUGGACUGACACUGACGCUGAGGUGCGAAAGCGUGGGGAGCAAACAGG
rnacentral:rRNA from 1 species